rnacentral:rRNA from 1 species
GUACACGCUGUGACUAGCAUAUCAAUAAGCGGAGGAAAAGAAACUAACAAGGAUUCCCCUAGUAACGGCGAGUGAAGCGGGAAGAGCUCAAAUUUGAAAUCUUAAAGGGUUUCCCUUUACGAAUUGUAGUUUAAAGAAGUGUUUUCUGUUGAGGUUUUGGUAAAAGUUCUUUGGAAUAGGACAUCAUAGAGGGUGAGAAUCCCGUAUUUGACCUUUACUUUCAACUUUGUGAUACACUUUCAAAGAGUCGGAUUGUUCGGGAAUGCAGUCCAAAAUGGGUGGUAAAUUUCAUCUAAAGCUAAAUAUUGGCGAGAGACCGAUAGCGAACAAGUACCGUGAGGGAAAGAUGAAAAGAACUUUGAAAAGAGAGUUAAACAGUACGUGAAAUUGUCAAAAGGGAAGCGUUUGACACCAGUGUUGUUUUUCUGAAAAUCAAUUAAAGAACUGUUUAUGCUAAGUUGUUUAGACUUUAUCAGCUAACUGUUUAGUUUUGAGCUUUUCUUUAAUGCACUUUUCAGUUAACAAGUCAACAUCAAUUUCUUUUGCUGUAAAAAAGCUUGAGGAAGGUGGCUUGAGAUUCGUCUUAAGUGUUUAUAGCCUCUUGCCUAUGCAGUCGGAGAGAUUGAGGUCUGCAGCGUAGAUCCUUCGGGGCUAAAUGCAUUUGUGCUAAGUUAUAGCAUUUUAUAGACAACUUGUUGACUAUGAUUUGUCUUGUAGCUUACUCGCUUAUGUUAUUUUACCUACGCUUAGGAUGUUGAAGAUGUAGCACAUCAU